UCUGGUAGCAAUGAUGACUUAACUUUUUUCCCCAUCAGAUCGACUCUGUUGACUUUCAGAAUAAAAUUAAGCCAAAUUAUCUGAGCAACCAGA